rnacentral:rRNA from 1 species
UACAGAGGUGGCAAGCGUUGUUCGGAAUUACUGGGCGUAAAGGGCGCGUAGGCGGCCUUCUAAGUCAGACGUGAAAUCCCCCGGCUUAACCUGGGAACUGCGUCUGAUACUGGGAGGCUUGAGUAUGGGAGAGGGAUGUAGAAUUCCAGGUGUAGCGGUGAAAUGCGUAGAUAUCUGGAGGAACACCGGUGGCGAAGGCGGCGACCUGGGCCAAUAUUGACGCUGAGGUGCGAAAGCGUGGGGAGCAAACAGG